AUGGCUUUUCAUUCUCUAGCUGUCUCCCUUCUUCCCCCUUUAAACUUCUAUUUACGUGAAGAAGCGUAAUUUUGACAGAAAGACGAGAAGACCCUGUCGAGCUUCAGCUAAACCUAAGUCCCACUACAUUUCCUCUCAGAGAAAAAGUAAAGUCCUUAGAACAAGCUUUGGUUGGGGCAACCAUGGAGUAAAAACAGCCUCCAGUUUUUCAGGUAGAAAACUAUUCUCCUAAAUAUACACUUUUAGAACCAAAAAUUUUGGAAAACGGAAAAAGUUACCGCAGGGAUAACAGCGUUAUCUUUUCUGAGAGCCCUUAUUGACGAAAAGGAUUGCGACCUCGAUGUUGGAUUGGGGUAACCAGAGGGUGCAGCAGCUCUCCAAGGUUGGACUGUUCGUCCAUUAAUUCCCC
rnacentral:rRNA from 23 species